AAUAAACAGACGGAGUGGUUGUGUGGAGAAAAACAACAGAUUUGGUGCCCUCGUUUUGGAUCACCUGAACCCCUCCUGCACCAGCGAUUUCCCCUUAGCCCACUCAAGGCUACAAAGCUGGGUGGCCCGCGUGCUGCCAGUCCCUAAGGGACACAGGUAAGUAUCAGAAGUGCUUAAGAAUCUUUGUUUAGU
rnacentral:lncRNA from 1 species